GAUGAACGCUGGCGGCGUGCUUAACACAUGCAAGUCGAACGGAAAGGCCCAAGCUUGCUUGGGUACUCGAGUGGCGAACGGGUGAGUAACACGUGGGUGAUCUGCCCUGCACUUCGGGAUAAGCCUGGGAAACUGGGUCUAAUACCGGAUAGGACCACUUCUUGGAUGUUGUGGUGGAAAGUUUUUUCGGUGUGGGAUGAGCUCGCGGCCUAUCCGCUUGUUGGUGGGGUAAUGGCCUACCAAGGCGUCGACGGGUAGCCGGCCUGAGAGGGUGUACGGCCACAUUGGGACUGAGAUACGGCCCAGACUCCUACGGGAGGCAGCAGUGGGGAAUAUUGCACAAUGGGCGCAAGCCUGAUGCAGCGACGCCGCGUAGGGGAUGACGGCCUUCGGGUUGUAAACUCCUUUCGCUAGGGACGAAGCGUUUUGUGACGGUACCUGGAGAAGAAGCACCGGCUAACUACGUG
rnacentral:rRNA from 1 species